rnacentral:tRNA from 1 species
AUUUAUAUAGUUUAAAUAAAACAUUUUAUUUUCAAUAAAAAAAUAAUAUUAUUUAUUUAUAAAUU